rnacentral:rRNA from 1 species
GGUUGCGAUCAUACCAGCACUAAUGCACCGGAUCCCAUCAGAACUCCGCAGUUAAGCGUGCUUAGGCGAGAGUAGUACUAGGAUGGGUGACCCUCUGGGAAGUCCUCGUGUUGCAACCC